rnacentral:lncRNA from 1 species
AAGUCUGCCUUGGGGAAACAGCCUUGCUAAGGCUUCCUUGUCCUGCAAAGGGAACUGCUUGCCAGGUUCAACAAGUAAGUCUCAGCUAUAGCUGUCCCAGGUCACUAUGCUCAGAGUGUGGCACUAGGACAAUUGCCAACCAUGCCCUGCUCCUCUUCCCUAAGGGGUGCGUACAGAAUGGCUCCAAAGGUGUCAACUGACUGCUCAGGAAUUGUGGACCUGGUUGGCAAGUUCUAGGGUCAGCAAUAGUUCAGCUCUCAAGCAUCUUGGAAAGCCCUUGGGAAGAGUGAAUGCCAAGCAUAGACCCUCCAGUGCUUUGUGGGUACAUUGGCUUCAGAGACAAAAGGCAGGCACAAAUCUCUCCUCAGCUGCCAGGGGCUGGUGUUGAAAAGACACAGUCAUUUUGCCUCUGAGUUUUCGGCUCACACAAGUCUUCCUGUUAGCAGAAAGCCUCAUCGAGAGAACUGGCGAGUUUUCUCCACCAACCAACUUCCUUAGGAAAGACCUCUUGUGUGGAGACAUCAGAUGUGACACACAGUAUGCUGGUGUAUGUAUCCUGGCUGUGCUCUGAGUGACUGAGGAAUGUGCAGCAGCUACUGGAAUGCUCAGGGACUUACUUUCCUCAUCUGUGAAAUGGGCUGAUGUCAGUCCCUCUUCGUUCCUGCAGUUGUUUGGAAAGCUUGGGAGAUAGUCUUUCAGAAAGUUCUUUCUUGGUGACCACCAGACUUCAUAAUCACAAGACAGCAUAUGAGGGUUGUUCCUCAUCCCGGCUGUAAUUUUAAUGUAUCCCAAAGGGUCUUGAAGGUGUUCUGAAGGCUAAGCCCCACCUGUCACAGAAAGCCAGGAUGGGAUUGCUGGGCUGAGACAGUGACUUCAGGGCAAGCAUAUGUGGGUGAUGAUUCCAGAAGGAGUCGUGAAGAGGUGGCGAGAGCACCACGCCUGGUGUGCUAAUGAUCAUGCCAGGGUUGCAGGUUACAGGAGAGUCAUUCCCACGGGACACCUCUGCAAGUCAGUCCAGAACCCGCAUCAGAGGCGUGAAGAAGCAGGACUGUGUGGGCCUCACACCUCCAUUUGAUACUGCUUCAGGCCUAUUUCCAGAGGCCUCCCUCAGCUCUUCCAGCUGCUCCAUGACAGGACACAGCAAGCUCUGGUGGCUAGAGAGACCCUCAAAGUCUGAAGUAGGCAAUCAUUGGUGCCAAGGCAAACUGGGCAGGACUGAGGGGCCCUGAGUGAGUGCUGGUGCUGUGUGUCACGUGACUCUCUCUGCCAUAUGGCAGCACUGUGCCCCAACGUGGGGGCUCACCACCUAUCCUGCAGUCAUUCCUCACUCAAACCCUGGGCUGUCUGCAAGACAUCCUGAAGCCCAGAGACUGAGAUCCUGUCCAAAGGACUCCUGUCUUGGAUGUCUCUGCCAUGUGUGUUUUUGUGCGAUGGGUUCCAUGUGACCCAGUGACAUGCAUCAUACUUGAAAUACUUCCACUGCUGACAAAAUAAAUCAGCUCUGUCCGCCGUAGCACUCAGCUUAUUAGGGGAAAAUGGAAAGGGGGCAUUAAAUAUUAAUGCCGCAUAUUUUCCUCUCCCUUGGCGCCUUCUAUGCCGCUGAUCGUUGCCCAGCCAGCACAGCCUUCUGUCUUUUUUCCUCUGACGAUGAUAGGGGACAGGGAAAAAAAAAAAACUCUGGCAAGUCAGUGAGGGGCAGGCAUGUGAAAGGGGCUCUGACGGAUUUUUCUAGGCCCCUGCUUGGGAGCAUGGCUGUCUCCAUUAGAUGCCAGGGAUAAUAAACUGUGAAACUUCAUCUGUGGCAGGAGGUUUCUACUCUUGCUGUGGUGUGGCUGUAGUCACAGAGUCUUCUGAAGGAGAAGGCAGUUUCUCAGGAGGCUGGGUGGGAGGACAGAAGCUCAGAGACAUGGGUGAGGAGUCCUAAGCUCACAGACCCCACGGCUCUGCUUCUGCUUGAUUCCCAAAAACAUUCAGCCAGGCACCCUUGCUUCUAAGGCCAGGCCACUGGAGGGCUGUGAGGUGACUUUCAGGCUUUGAAAAGAGGCUUCUGGACAUUUUGACAUUUCACUCAAUCAGUCCUUGAAAAUUCACUGUCUGUCUGUCUAUCUAUCUAUCUAUCUAUCUAUCUAUCUAUCUAUCUACCUACCUACCUACCUAUCUAUCUAUCUACCUACCUACCUAUCUAUCUAUCUAUCUAUCUAUCUAUCUAUCUAUCUAUCUAUCUAUCUAUCUACCUAUCAUCCAUCCAUCUAUUGUCUAUCUAGAUAUACAUAGAUAUCCAUAUAUCUCUAUAUUUAUCCUCUAUCUACUUAUCUAUCCAUGCAUCUAUCUAUCUAUCUAUCUAUCUAUCUAUCUAUCUAUCUAUCUAUCUAUCUAAUUUGUCCAUCUAUCUCUCUCUCUCUAUCUAUCUCUCUAUCUCUCUAUCUCUCUAUCUCUCUAUCUAUCUAUCUAUCUAUCUAUCUAUCUAUCUAUCUUUGUCCAUCUAUCUAUCUCUAUUGAUCUAUCUAUAUAUCUAUCCUGUAUCAUCUAUUAUCUAACUUUAUCAUUAAUCACCAAUUUAUGAUUAACCUAUCUUAUCUACAUAUCUAUCACCCAUCUCUAUCUGUAAUCUUUCUAUCAUAUAUCUAUAUCUAUCUUCUAUUUAGAUGUCUACAGAUAUCCAUAUAUCUAAAUACAUACUUAGAAAAAACC